AUCAAACCCAGGGUCUUGCACGUGCUAGUUGAGUGCUCUACUGCUGAGCCACAGCCACAGCCCUCCCCUCCUGCCUUUAUUCCUCUCCUAUCAUGUCCUGGCCUUCCACUGUGCCUGCUGCCUACCCCGUGAGGCUCAGCUGGGCGCCAGGAAUAGAGGAGUGAGGGUGAUGCUCAUCCUCUUCAUUCCUGGUUCCUGACAAUUUUGUUUGAUCCUUCUCUGGCUCCUGAAAGGUGAUCCAAACAUUCAAGUUAUAUCAGAAAAGCGGGUCUCAAUCUCAGCCAGCCCUGCAGGAGGGAUGCUGACCACAUUCCUGUUGCUUGGCCAAGGGGGCGGAGGCCAGAGAGGGAAGGAGUCCUGGAGCCAGAAAGUGAAUGACUUCUAGUACAGUCCUGAGCUCAGACCUGCAGCCUCCAGCACAGACUGCAUGGGGUCUCCUGUCCCAGUAUCUGCAUUCAGUAGGUGUGACCUGACAAAUUAUUCUAAUCUCUUUGUUCUUGGGUUCUCAUCUGUAAAAUGAGACUUUACAAAAAUGUCUUUCUCAUAGUGUUGUAGGGACCCAGUAGAAUAAUCCAUGGAAAGCACUAGAACAGAGCCUGACACAGAAUCAGUGUGUAACAAAUGUGAGCUACUGGGUGGGAGUGUAUGGUGGAGCGCUUGCCUAGCAUUCCUGGGCCUGGAUUCCAUUUCUAGUACCACUAAAUAAAUAGAGAUGAGCAACCAAUGUCACCAUUGUUUGUCUCAUCCCUUCCUGAGACCUCUUAAUGCCUAGUCCCACCCAAGAAGGCAAGUUGUGGCUGGGCAAGGUGGCACACACCUAUAAUCCCAUUAACUGGAGGCUGAGGCAGGAGGAUUGCAAGUUCAAGGCCAGCCUCAGCAAUUCAGUGAGGCCCUAAGCAACUUAGCAAAACCCUAUCUCAAAGAUAAAAAAUAAAAGGCCGGGGCUGUAGCUUAGUGGCAGAGCACUGGCCUAGCAUGUGUGAGCUGAUGGCAUGUUCUCCAGCACCUCUGUGGUUCCUGGCAAGGAAACACACCUGGUGUCUCAAGGAAACGUCAGGCAAGUCCAAAUUGAGAGUGUCAGUCUGCAAAACAGCUGGAACUCCUCCAAGACGUCAGGCUCUGUGAGGACUAGAGAGGUGUGACAGAAGGGCCCUGGAUUCUGGGUUGGAAAGGAUGUUAUGGGGGCUGGGGCUAAGGCUCAGUGGCCAAGGGCUUGCCUGGCACGUGGGAAGCCCUGGGUUCCAUCCUCAGCACCACAUAAAAAUAAAUAAAAUAAAGACAUUGUGUCCAUCUAUAAUUAAAAACUAUUAAAAAUAGGAUGUUAUUGGGACAAUUGAUUGUGGACGAUGGUAUUAUACUGUAUCAAUGCUGGGCUUCCUGACUUUGAUACUUUUACCAGUUAUGUAGAGAAUGACCUUGUUCUUGGCAGAUUUGUAUUUAUACCCUAUAUUUAAGGUAUAAAUAUACCUACAUGGGUAAAAGGUCCUGACAUCUCUGGUCAACCCAGAUGUUUCCAAAAAUAGUAUAUGUAAAUAAAUACACAUACACAAGGAGUUAGGGCAUGACAGAGCAAAUAAGCACAGUGUUAAGAAUUACAAUGCGUGGCCUGGGGUUGUGGCUCAGCAGUAGAGCACUCACCUUGCUCGUGCAAGACCCUGGGUUUGAUCCACAGCACCACAUACAGAAAUGAACAAGUGAAAUAAAGGUGUUGUGUCCAACUACAACUAAAAAAAUAUUUUUUUAAAAAGAAUUACAAUGCAAAAAUUAUAAUGCAACUUUUUUUUUUCAACACUGGGGGUGGAC
rnacentral:lncRNA from 1 species